rnacentral:rRNA from 1 species
AGGGAACGCUGGCGGUAGGCCUAACACAUGCAAGUCGAACGGCAGCACGGUAAGAGCUUGCUCUUACGGGUGGCGAGUGGCGGACGGGUGAGGAAUACAUCGGAAUCUACUUUUUCGUGGGGGAUAACGUAGGGAAACUUACGCUAAUACCGCAUACGACCUACGGGUGAAAGCAGGGGAUCUUCGGACCUUGCGCGAUUGAAUGAGCCGAUGUCGGAUUAGCUAGUUGGCGGGGUAAAGGCCCACCAAGGCGACGAUCCGUAGCUGGUCUGAGAGGAUGAUCAGCCACACUGGAACUGAGACACGGUCCAGACUCCUACGGGAGGCAGCAGUGGGGAAUAUUGGACAAUGGGCGCAAGCCUGAUCCAGCCAUACCGCGUGGGUGAAGAAGGCCUUCGGGUUGUAAAGCCCUUUUGUUGGGAAAGAAAAGCAGCAGGUUAAUACCCCGCUGUUCUGACGGUACCCAAAGAAUAAGCACCGGCUAACUUCGUG